rnacentral:rRNA from 1 species
GGAAUCUUCCACAAUGGGCGCAAGCCUGAUGGAGCAACACCGCGUGAGUGAAGAAGAUUUUCGGAUCGUAAAGCUCUGUUGUAAGAGAAGAACGUGUGUGAGAGUGGAAAGUUCACACAGUGACGGUAACUUACCAGAAAGGGACGGCUAACUACGUGCCAG